rnacentral:rRNA from 1 species
UACGAAGGGGGCUAGCGUUGUUCGGAAUUACUGGGCGUAAAGCGCACGUAGGCGGAUUUGUAAGUCAGGGGUGAAAUCCCGGGGCUCAACCUCGGAACUGCCUUUGAUACUGCAAAUCUCGAGUCCGGAAGAGGUGAGUGGAAUUCCUAGUGUAGAGGUGAAAUUCGUAGAUAUUAGGAAGAACACCAGUGGCGAAGGCGGCUCACUGGUCCGGUACUGACGCUGGGGUGCGAAAGCGUGGGGAGCAAACAGG